rnacentral:rRNA from 1 species
GGUUAAGUGACUAAGCGUACACGGUGGAUGCCUUGGCAGUCAGAGGCGAUGAAAGACGUAGUAACUUGCGAUAAGCCCAGAUUAGGUAGUAACAACCAUUUGAGUCUGGGAUUUC